rnacentral:tRNA from 1 species
GCCUGAGUGACUCAGUCGGUUAAGUGUCCGACUUCGGCUCAGGUCAUGAUCUCGUGGUUUGUGAGUUCAAGCCCCACUUCGGGCU